rnacentral:rRNA from 1 species
UGGCGGUGGCUUAUUCCUAUCAGAGGAACCUGCCCUUUAAAAGACAUUACACUAUGCCCAAUCUUUUUUAAGGCUUAUAUAUCUUGUCUUUAGAAUUAAUAUUGAAUGUUUUUUCGAGAUUUUUUAUAAAAAUUAAGUCAAAUCAAGGUGUAGUAUAAAAAAGUAGAGGUGGGUUACAUUAUUUUUAUAUUUAAAUUUUUGUACAAAAUAAAAUGAAACUGGAUUUGAGAGUAAAUUUUUAUAAUUAAAAUUGAAUUUGGCCCUAAGUC